GCCCCCGUAGCUCAGUGGAUAGAGCGUCUGCCUCCGGAGCAGAAGGUCGCUGGUUCGAAUCCAGUCGGGGGUA
rnacentral:tRNA from 1 species